rnacentral:rRNA from 1 species
AUUGAACGCUGGCGGCAUGCCUUACACAUGCAAGUCGAACGGUAACAGGCCGCAAGGUGCUGACGAGUGGCGAACGGGUGAGUAAUACAUCGGAACGUGCCCGAUCGUGGGGGAUAACGGAGCGAAAGCUGCGCUAAUACCGCAUACGAUCUGAGGAUGAAAGCGGGGGACCGUAAGGCCUCGCGCGAUCGGAGCGGCCGAUGUCAGAUUAGGUAGUUGGUGGGGUAAAGGCUCACCAAGCCGACGAUCUGUAGCUGGUCUGAGAGGACGACCAGCCACACUGGGACUGAGACACGGCCCAGACUCCUACGGGAGGCAGCAGUGGGAAUUUGGACAAUGGGCGCAAGCCUGAUCCAGCAAUGCCGCGUGCAGGAAGAAGG